AUGCUCCCUUUGACAGUACUUAUACUAACAUUAAAAUAACACAGAGAAGAUAUGCUUGGCCACUGUGCAAGGAUGACAUGAAGCCACAAUUAUAUUAAGGUGACUUAA
ensembl:snRNA U6 U6 spliceosomal RNA